UACAGAGGGUGCGAGCGUUGUCCGGAAUCACUGGGCGUAAAGGGCGCGUAGGCGGCGCGGUAAGCGUGCGGUGAAAGCCCGGGGCUCAACCCCGGGUCGGCCGUGCGGACUGCCGGGCUGGAGCACUGUAGAGGCAGGUGGAAUUCCGGGUGUAGCGGUGAAAUGCGCAGAUAUCAGGAGGAACACCAAUUGCGAAGGCAGCUCGCUGGGACGUUACUGACGCUGAGACGCGAAAGCGUGGGGAGCAAACAGG
rnacentral:rRNA from 1 species